ensembl:lncRNA
UCAGCUCGUGCAGAGUGAGCUGGGUGCCAUCUUAAACUCACCUCACGUAAGAUCUGGAGAUCCAGAGGCAUUUGACAACUUUGCCCUAUCAGUACAAGGUCUAGUUGGCAUGCUCCGCUCCCUCGAGGGUGAGAAUGGCUAUGAACUGCGAUGCGGCUCCCACGUCGACAGGCUGCUCAGCAAACUGCCUACUAACUAUCGAGAUGCGUUUGUGGAGUACAGCAUAAACCGAGGCAUCCUGAGGACCGGCACUGAUCAGACCUACACGCUUGAAGACUUCUCUGUUUGGCUUCAGUUAAAGUCACAAGCAAAGCGCAUUUCAUCUCGAGCAGCUCUGAUGUUCCAAGACCAGCCUAAGCCAGUUAAGGGAAAAAAUAAAUCCCAGGGUCCUUCAUCCAACGUGUUUUACAGCACUGAGAGUCAAGCUAAGGUAGCCCCUCCAGAUUCUGCUCGCAGCACAAAGUCACCCAAAGGUAAACCCAGUGUGAAGCCUUACUGCCCGUACUGCGACGCCCGUGAGCAUUACCUCAGCUUAUGCCCCAAAUUCAAAACGCUCACUCCAUCAGAGAUUUCCGCCUGGAUUAAAGACAGAGGCUGUGGGAGGUGUGGCAGGAACCAUAAACCUGAGACAUGUACUCUCAAGAAGCCUUGUCAAGUGUGCAGACAGCAACACCUGACCGUGCUCCACGAAGUGUGUUCCCAAGAGGCUAAGAAAGUGUUAAUGGUCAGUGCUGCUCCUGACACCAUAUACGUUGACCGUCCUAGUCGGCCGCAGAGAGUCAUGUUGAAGCUAGUUAAGGUGCGCCUGUACAAUGACGAUCACACUCUGGAAGGUUUCGCUAUUCUGGACGACGGAUCGGAGAGAACCCUCAUCCUUCCCUCAGCAGUCCAGCAUCUCCAUUUAGCUAAAGAGCCUGAAAGCUUGCCUUUACGUACUGUCCGCCAUGAGGUGAUCCGUCUACAAGGAGCCGCUGUCUCGUUCGACAUCUCCCCAGCUCAUUCUCCCAAACAAAGGUACCACAUCUUUCAUGCCUUCACCGCUGGUGAACUGAGCCUGUCUGAGCAUAGCUAUCCUGUCAAGUCACUCAUGCGCAGAUACUCCCACCUGCAAGGUCUUCCUCUGCCGAAGGUUGACAAGGUCCAGCCGCUUCUGUUGAUAGGCUCUGACUUUCCACAUCUGCUGCUUCCCAAACAACCGGUCCGAGCAGGUCCUCCUGGGAGUCCUGUAGCUGUGCGUACUGCUCUU